rnacentral:rRNA from 1 species
UACGAGGGGGGCAAAUGUUGUUCGGAAUCACUGGGCGUAAAGGGAGCGUAGGCGGGGUUUUAAGUCAGGUGUUUAAUCCCGGGGCCCAACCCCGGACCGGCACUUGAAACUGGGAAUCUUGAAUAGGGGAGAGGUCAGUGGAAUUGGGGGUGUAGCGGUGGAAUGCGUAGAGAUCCCCAAGAACACCAGUUGCGAAGGCGGCUGACUGGACCCAUAUUGACGCUGAGGCUCGAAAGCAUGGGGAGCAAACAGG